UCCACGGAUCCGCAACCCGGACGGAGAAAGCCCCUCUCCUUCGAUUGAGAUGAAAAUGAAGCAAUCGUCAAGGUAUCUCUUCCAUGCUUUUUCAAUAUACUUCCUAAAUUCAGUUCUGUAUCUCUCCUCUAUUUCCUGGUAGAGAUUUUGUUCUAAGUAUCCCAUCACUGAGUUCGCAUAAGCGGGAGCAAACUUCGUUCCCAUAGCCGUGCCUUUAAUCUGGAUGUAGUUCUUUCUAUUGAAGAAGAAAGUGUUGUUUUCCAGAAUAAGUCUAACUGAAUAUAAUAUGAAUGUCACUGUUAAUCUGUUGGGAAUUGCUUCUCUAUGUUUAUUUACCCAGUAUAUGAUCGCCUUUAUUCCUAAAUCAUGUGGGAUAUUGGUGUAAAGGCUUACUACAUCAAAGCUUAGUAGGAUUGAAUUUGUUUCUGUGGUUUUGGGAAGAUGGGAUAGAAAAUCGAUGUCAUCCCGAAUGAAGCCGGGUAUGUAGGUACAUAGAGAUUUCAAAAUAAUGC